rnacentral:rRNA from 1 species
UGGGGAAUUUUGGACAAUGGGCGAAAGCCUGAUCCAGCAAUGCCGCGUGUGUGAAGAAGGCCUUCGGGUUGUAAAGCACUUUUGUCCGGAAAGAAAUCCUUGGCUCUAAUACAGUCGGGGGAUGACGGUACCGGAAGAAUAAGCACCGGCUAACUACGUGCCAGCAGCCGCGGUAAUACGUAGGGUGCAAGCGUUAAUCGGAAUUACUGGGCGUAAAGCGUGCGCAGGCGGUUUGCUAAGACCGAUGUGAAAUCCCCGGGCUCAACCUGGGAACUGCAUUGGUGACUGGCAGGCUAGAGUAUGGCAGAGGGGGGUAGAAUUCCACGUGUAGCAGUGAAAUGCGUAGAGAUGUGGAGGAAUACCGAUGGCGAAGGCAGCCCCCUGGGCCAAUACUGACGCUCAUGCACGAAAGCGUGGGGAGCAAACAGGAUUAGAUACCCUGGUAGUCCACGCCCUAAAACGAUGUCAACUAGUUGUUGGGGACUCAUUUCCUUAGUAACGUAGCUAACGCGUGAAGUUGACCGCCUGGGGAGUACGGUCGCAAGAUUAAAACUUAAAGGAAUUGACGGGGUCAUAGCUG